UUGUUGCUUCGAUCUAAUUUGUAGCUUUAAUCUCCUUCGCAAGGGAACGAAAUUUAUGUUUUCAGUCUGUUCCACUGCAACAUCAGGGAGAUAAGAUCUCUGGCUUCAAUCUGAUGUGAUCUACUCUACUGUAACUUCAGAGAGAUAAGAUCCUUUAUUUUAAUCCGCUCCACUGUAACUUCAGAGAGAUAGGAUUACUAGCUUCAAUCUACUCCGCUGUAAUUUCAGAGAGAUAAGAUCUCUGGCUUCAAUCUGCUCCACUGUAACCUCAGGGAGAUAAGAUCUGAAAUUUUUCGGUCUGUUCCACUGUAAUCUCAGGGAGAUAAGAUCUCUGGCUUCAAUCUGAUGUGAUCUACUCUACUGUAACUUCAGAGAGAUAAGAUCCUUUAUUUUAAUCCGCUCCACUGUAACUUCAGAGAGAUAGGAUUACUAGCUUCAAUCUACUCCGCUGUAAUUUCAGAGAGAUAAGAUCUCUGGCUUCAAUCUGCUCCACUGUAACCUCAGGGAGAUAAGAUCUGAAAUUUUUCGGUCUGUUCCACUGUAAUCUCAGGGAGAUAAGAUCUCUA
rnacentral:lncRNA from 1 species